GCGCGUGGUGCUUUGUGAGGGUUCCGGGUCCCGGCAGGCCCCGCGCGGGCGGGCGGCGGUUGCCAUGGCAGCGCGGGCUGCGGGCGGCGCGCGGCGCGAUGGAGAAGUUCCAGCCCCGCUACUUCACCCCGCGGGAGGUGUCUGCGCACGCGCGGCCCGGGGACCUCUGGGUGUCCUACCUGGGCCGCGUGUAUGACCUGAGCCCGCUGGUCCGACAGCACAAGGGGGACGUCUUGCUGAGGCCCAUCUUGGAAGCGGCGGGAAAGGACAUUAGCCACUGGUUCAACCCCAAGACCAGAGACAUCCAGACCCACGUGGACCCGCUGACGGGCUGUGUCAAGUACUACACCCCCCAGGGCCGCUUCAUCCACAUCCCGCCCCAGCUGCCCCGCUCCGACUGGGCGAACGACUUCGGGCUGCCCUGGUGGAAGGACAGCAAGUAUGAGGUGGGGAUCCUGGCUUCUAAGACCCGGCGUGUCCGUAUCGUCAACACCCUGACCUCGCAGGAGCAUGUGUUGGAGGUGUGCGCGGAGGAGUCCAUGUGGGAAAUCCUGCGGCGCUACCUGCCCCACAACGCCCACGCUGCCAGUUACACCUGGAAGUACGAGGGCGUCAACCUGGACAUGGACAAGACGCUGGAGCAGAACAAGAUCCCGGAUGAGGACGCAGAGUUCUACCGGCUCAACUUGGACACCGACCUGUACACGCCGGGUAUCUUGCUGUACUUCAACGACGACCUCACCGAGUUCUAGAACCAACAGAGAGGCAGGAUCUCACUCACGGCAGCGUCGAUGCGGACACUGAUGGGAGACGUUACUACAAAUCGAUGCUGGCGUAUCGGGGUCGGAUGAGCUAAGGGUCUUCACUAUGUUUCCAAAAGAAGCUGCUUUGGAACGACCCUUUGGUUGAUCUACGUGGGACUUUCCAAUAGAAAUGGUCACACAAAAGGAAAUGAAGAAUGAAUCUCUCAUCUGCUAGACCAGUGGUAGCCUGUCGUCGGAAAAACGGCCCAAUCAUCGAGGAAUGUUUCAAAGAAAUAUUGGAGAUUUGUGGUUAUGGAAAAAUUAACACACCAAUUAUGUAUCCAGCAAAAUAACAGAGGACAGAUAGAUACUUCGAUAUCUGGUUACCUUUUAUUCAGUACUCAAAGUACAUUCAUUUGCUAAAAAACAAAACAAAAAAGCACACCUGUUCAAUUUUUUUGAAUAUUAACAUUAGAUAGACAUACCUCGUUAUUGGUGCUUUCUCUGUAAUAUAGUGACACCUUGUUAAAUAAAAAGAUCAGAUGACUAUA